UCCUCUUUUCAAUAUAGUUGGCAUUAAAGCUCAUUUCUAGUGAAUAUAAUGAGAGAAUUCAACCUUAUUAGAGACAAGUUUUUCUCGUUAACUGGAAGCUCUUCAGUUAGCUUACAGACAAGACAGUGUAAGCAACAACUACUGAACAUACAUUCUACUAACAUCCAAUGAGCAACUCUUAAAGGAUCUACAUACAAAACAGCUUGGUUACUGACCACCGAUCUGAAGUUGUUUAUCCAAUACAGCAAACGUCAAGCAAAGGUAACAGUAAAACUGUAUCGGAAGUUUCAGCUAAGUAUCAAAGAUAAAGAUCAAUUUUCCCCGACAAGAUAUUUUAGUUCAAGAAUAGACAUUUGAAGUGUAAACAGUGCUGCUCAGGGUGUCCGAGAGUCGACACAACCAGGAAAUACAGUACUAGCAGCUGAACCGUACUCUAUACAUGGUACCGUGGAACCGUACCCCUAAGCAAGACAGUAUCUGCCAUUUUAAUACAAUGAAAAAAUCCUUUCAUUUAGAAUUUGAAUUCUUGAAUGGACUUAAAACCUUUGAAUCACAGUUUCAAAAAUCACAAGUAGGUAAAUAAUUUUACACAUAACACAUGUACAUAAGGUAAUAUUGUAAAGAAUUAUAAAGUUUUCAACUAGGUACUUAAUUUCCUUGAGGUUUUAGAAAGGUAUUCGAAAAUACAAUAAUAUUAAUUUUUCUAAAACGUGCACCUUCAUAUUCCUGUCACGACGGUAUGCAACACGUCAGCCGAGAACCUGUACUGCCGCAGACCCCAAACACCAGCUAACGGAGUCAAUAAUGUCACGUUAGAUAUCGUCUCGUGUCAAGCUGCUCAAAUGAGAAAAUCCCUUCAAUAUCCCCUUCUCUCUCUCCCUCGGACAAGAGGAGGGGGGGGGGAGUGCCCUAACGUCCCCACCAUGCCCUGGGAGGCCCCGAAUGAUGGGGCAUGCCCAGAGAGGCCCCGAGUGAUGGGGCAUGCCCAGAGAGGCCCCGAGUGAUGGAGCAUGCCCAGGGAGGCCCCGAGUGAUGGGGCAUGCCCAGGGAGGCCCCGAGUGAUGGGGCAUCCCCUCUCUUCCCUCAGAUGAUCAGUCCCCCUUAACACCCCUUCACUACCACCAUGCCCAAUGAGGUCCCCCUUGAGUAACAAGACAUCACACUCCCCCUCCUCCAAGUCCGAGUGCCCACCACAGAGGACUGUGCCAGCUCUCACCUGGCCCUCACAACGAGAAACAACCCCAAGUGCCGAGCAAGUACUCACUGUUGUCCAUCUUUGGUACAGUUAGCAGGGGGGCGGGAGCCACAGAAAUCAGAAGACGAGGGGACAAUGAUGAUGCGGGCGGUCAAUUGUCAUUUCCCGUUGCUGAUCGCUCACUAACUCUUCGGGCUGAUUUCUCCACAUUUAUCUCCCGAUCUUCACUCCUCUUUCCCCUUCCACGGGCGCAACGAGGAUUUAAAAGGUAGAUUUUGGUGCCCACAUAUCCGUAAUCGCGAUAAAGACUAGCAAGUUAUCGAUUUUUCACAAACAUCUUCGAAUGGGACCUGCGGACUCUCUUCUUAACCAUUAAUUUUGUUUGGAUUGCAUUUCUCGAGGGAGACUGCCAAACAAACCUAUUAACCUUCCUGCCUAGUUAGCCUUUAAUUUAUUAAUAUUUAAUCAGCUUAAUAUUAUUCAAGUGUAUAUUAAACUUGAAAAUUACAGGAAGUGAGAGUAUAUGUAUUUAUUUUUCUCGUGUGAAAUGCGCGUGUGUGAGUCGCAAGGGACGAGUUACCAGAGGUCAAUGGUGGCGGCAGGUCACUGCUGCUGCUCCGCCUCGCUCCUCUAUAAUGGUGUCUUGUAGGCCUUCACACACUAUAAUGCGAAUAAAGACAUAUUUUCUCUUGUAGGCCUAGAUAUAGGAUUAAUGUAGAUAUAGGCCUAGUCAUGAUAAAAUCCCCUUGUAAGCUGUUGUUAUAGAUUCAGCUACUCGGAAAUGAGUUCCAAGUAGCACGGGCUAUGUUGAGCCCGUAACUUACCUGGCACAGGAGCGGGGCAAGUAGCACAGGCUAUGGUGAGCCCGUAGUGGACUUACCUGGCACAGAUAAGGAGCUUACAAGGGGGAGCACUGAAUGUGCUCCCCCUUGUAAGCCUGUAGAUAACUUUUUUAAAGAGGCGACUUCUGAUUCCUGUUAACAUGUGGAGAGCUUACUCAAUGGUUUUCCCUGGAACACGACCCGCCAAUUGGUUAACAUCCAGCUACUUUGUUAUUGCUGGGUGAACAGGGGCAAACAAGAUUACGUGAUCAGUAAGUAGUCUGCACUGUCAAACUCUGGGUGCAUUAUGAGGAUAUCAUCAUGAACACGAGAGUGAAAAAAGUAAUUGCAAAGCUCCAGGUACCUCAUGCCAACGGGUCUGACUGGUGUGAUGUGUGCGAGAUCUCAUAGGUCUAAAAAUUGUACACCCCUUGAAUUUCAUACAAAGACAAAUUAUUAUGAACUCGAGUGGAAUUAAUACGGCACACUGAUAAGCCUAGUUAGAGUUAGUGCGUAAAUUUAGAUGCUGUCUUGCAAUGUAGUGUAAUAUAAUGAAAACCCUUUUCCAAAUACAUAGGUUACACCGGGUAUGAAAUACAAUAGAAUUUUACAUGAAUUCAACUUGAAGGCCACCAUGUCUGUGGCUUCCACGAGGCGCCAGAUUCACAAACAGUUACGCGAGCACUUACGAACCUGUACAUCUUUUCUCAAUCUUUGGCGGCUUUGUUUAAAAUUAUUAAACAGUUAAUGAACUCCGAAGAACCAGGAGGCUGUUUAUAACAAUAACAACAGCUGAUUGGGACGUUUUCAUGCUUGUAAACUGUUUAAUAAAUGUAACCAAAGCCGUCAAAGAUCGAGGAAAGAUGUACACGUUCGUAAGUACUUGCGUAACUGCUUCGUGAAUCUGGCAGGAAUAAUGUAAUCCGGCGGUUUGUCAAUUAGAUCCCUCCAGCAUUUUCCAGCUGUAUUUAAAUUUAAUUAAGAACUUGAAUGUAGACUAGGUUAUGUAUUGCGGCGGUUUUUUAUUAAAAUUAAAAUUUUGUGCUUUUGAAUUAUAA
rnacentral:lncRNA from 1 species